AAAGCUUUAAGUUAAUAUAAACUAUUAACCUUCAAAGUUAAUUAUAAGAAUAAUUUCUUAAGCUUUA
rnacentral:tRNA from 1 species